CGCCCGCGGAGGCGGCGGCGCCCGGACCCCACUCCCGUUGGGCUCCCGGGUCCUCGAGGGCAAGAGAGACCCCGAAUCCCGAGGCGGGCCGGGACCUGGGCGCGGCCGCACCCCACACCCACCCUGGCUCGGGGGCCGGGCCGCGGGAACGCCCUCCCGGAAUGAAGCGCUUCCCGGUGCCUUCAAGAGUUCUAACCCCACCCCAUCGGAUUGGAAGUACCUAAGCUGCCGGCCCACUGUGUUUGGAGUGACUUCUCUCAGUCCAUCUCAAUUUAGACCACUCCCCAUGGAGGCAAAUGCCUUCCCGGCUUCCUUCUCCCCCCGACCCUGGCUUCUAGGUCUCUGAGAUCCUCCAGUGUUUUCGCCCCAGGCUCCUGGGAACCAUCUCACCCACCCCCUUAAACUCCCUCCCUCUAGCCUGGGAACCCGGAGGAAGCCCAUCCUGGAUCACCUCUGGAUCAAGAGUACUCUCCCUGUCUCCCCUUCUCCAAAUCCAUGUCCCCGCCUCAAUCCCCUGGCUGAAAUCAGCCAAGAAACUGUCAAAGCCAAAGGCUGAGGCAGCCAGCCACUCCUGCUCAAAUCCCUAACCCUGCUGGGGGUCUCAGUGCCACAUAAGCCACUCCCGCCCAAUUGCCUCCCACUCCUUCCCCCACCCACCUUCAAUCUAGCCAGUGUAACCCAGUGACAGUCCUUGAUGACAAGUUCCUUGCCCACCUUGACCUCCAUUCUCAAGUCACCCACCUUUUUAUUAAUGUGUGCUAGAGCUCUGGGCAACACAACCCUGACCUCUGUAAGGGUGCCCAUCCCCCUCCUCUUAGUACACCUCCCCUGCCCCCACCCCAACUACCUCUGGGAUAAGAACAUGAGAGACUCAAGUUAAUGGUUUCCUCUGGGACCUUCUGGGAACACUCAGCAGGUAUAUCCUGCCACCCUGUAUGCAUGACACUAGAAACAACUUGCUUUUUCCUG
rnacentral:lncRNA from 1 species